UACGUCGGGGGCGAGCGUUGUCCGGAUUUAUUGGGCGUAAAGCGCGGGCAGGCGGCCCGGUAAGUCGGCCGUGAAAGCGCCGGGCUCAACUCGGCGAGGACGGGCGAGACUGCAGGGCUGGAGCAAGGCAGAGGGCGGUGGAAUUCCGGGUGUAGUGGUGGAAUGCGUAGAGCUCCGGAGGAACACCAGUGGCGAAGGCGGCCGCCUGGGCCUUUGCUGACGCUGAGCCGCGAAAGCGUGGGGAGCGAGCCGG
rnacentral:rRNA from 1 species